rnacentral:rRNA from 1 species
UACGGAGGGUGCAAGCGUUGUCCGGAUUUAUUGGGUUUAAAGGGUGCGUAGGUGGCCCGUUAAGUCCGGGGUGAAAGCCCACUGCUCAACAGUGGAACUGCCCUGGAUACUGGCGGGCUUGAGUCCAGACAAGGUUGGCGGAAUGGAUGGUGUAGCGGUGAAAUGCAUAGAUACCAUCCAGAACCCCGAUUGCGUAGGCAACUGACUAGGCUGGUACUGACACUGAGGCACGAAAGCGUGGGGAGCGAACAGG